rnacentral:rRNA from 1 species
UGGAGACAGGUGCUGCAUGGCUGUCGUCAGCUCGUGUCGUGAGAUGUUGGGUUAAGUCCCGCAACGAGCGCAACCCUUGUCUUUAGUUGCCAUCAUUCAGUUGGGCACUCUAAAGAGACUGCCGGUGUCAAACCGGAGGAAGGUGGGGGAUGACGUCAAGUCCUCAUGGCCUUUAUGACCAGGGCUACACACGUACUACAAUGGCCGGUACAAAGGGCAGCCACUUAGCGAUAAGGAGCCAAUCCCGUAAAGCCGGUCUCAGUCCGGAUUGGAGUCUGCAACUCGACUCCAUGAAGUUGGAAUCGCUAGUAAUCGCAGAUCAGCACGCUGCGGCGAAUACGUUCCCGGGCCUU